AUGGGGAUAGCUCAGUGGUAGAGUGUGCGCUUAGCAUGCAUGAGGUCCUGGGUUCAAUCCCCAGUCCCCCUA
rnacentral:tRNA from 1 species